rnacentral:rRNA from 1 species
CCUACGGGUGGCAGCAGUGGGGAAUAUUGCACAAUGGGGGAAACCCUGAAGCAGCGACGCCGCGUGAGUGAAGAAGUAUUUCGGUAUGUAAAGCUCUGUCAGCAGGGAAGAAAAUGACGGUACCUGACCAAGAAGCCCCGGCUAACUACGUGCCAGCUGCCGUGGUAAGACGUAGGGGGCAAGCGUUAUCCGGAUUUACUGGGUGUAAAGGGAGCGUAGACGGCAGGGCAAGUCUGGAGUGAAAGGCUGGGGCUCAACCCCCGGACUGCUGUGGAAACUGGCAGGCUGGAGUGCAGGAGAGGUGAGUGGAAUUCGUGGUGUAGCGGUGAAAUGCGUAGAUAUUAGGAGGAACACCAGUGGCGAAGGCGGCUUACUGGACUGUAACUGACGUUGAGGCUCGAAAGCGUGGGGAGCAAACAGGAUUAGAUACCCUAGUAGUC